rnacentral:rRNA from 1 species
CAUAGCGACUAUCGUGGCAUAUCAAUAAGCGGAGGAAAAGAAACUAACUAGGAUUCCCCUAGUAACGGCGAGUGAAGCGGGAAGAGCUCAAAUUUGAAAUCUUAAAGGUUUUCCCUUGACGAAUUGUAGUUUAAAGAAGUGUUUUCUGUUGAAGUUUUGGUAAAAGUUCUUUGGAAUAGGACAUCAUAGAGGGUGAGAAUCCCGUAUUUGACCAUUAUUUCCAGCUGUGUGAUACACUUUCAAAGAGUCGGAUUGUUUGGGAAUGCAGUCCAAAAUGGGUGGUAAAUUUCAUCUAAAGCUAAAUAUUGGCGAGAGACCGAUAGCGAACAAGUACCGUGAGGGAAAGAUGAAAAGAACUUUGAAAAGAGAGUUGAAACAGUACGUGAAAUUGUCAAAAGGGAAGCGUUUGACAGCCAGUGUUGUUUAGUUGAAAAUCAAUUCAAUAAUUUUUGAUUCUAAGUAGUAUUGACUUCAUCAGCUUGCUGCUUUCUUCUCAGAAAUUAUUGAAUGCACUUUUCAGUUAACAAGUCAACAUCAAUUUCUUUUGUUGUAAAAGGGUAAGAGGAAGGUGGCUUACGCUUCGGCGUAAGUGUUUAUAGCCUUUUACCUCUGCAAUCGGAGAGAUUGAGGACAGCAGCGUAGACUCUUCGGGGUUAGAUACACUUGUGCUAAGCUAUAGCCUUGUAUAGACAACUUGUUGACUAUGCUCAGUCAUGUAGCUUACUCGCUUGUGCUAUUUUACCUACGCUUAGGAUGUUGACGCGCGUGUGUGCGUG